UGCGUAGGUGGUUAUUUAAGUCCGUUGUGAAAGCCCUGGGCUCAACCUGGGAACUGCAGUGGAUACUGGAUGACUAGAAUGUGGUAGAGGGUAGCGGAAUUCCUGGUGUAGCAGUGAAAUGCGUAGAGAUGUGGAGGAACACCGAUGGCGAAGGCAGCCCCCUGGGCCGAUACUGACGCUCAUGCACGAAAGCGUGGGAGCAAACA
rnacentral:rRNA from 1 species